rnacentral:rRNA from 1 species
UACAGAGGUCUCAAGCGUUGUUCGGAUUCAUUGGGCGUAAAGGGUGCGUAGGCGGCGCGGUAAGUCGGGUGUGAAAUCUCGGAGCUUAACUCCGAAACUGCAUUCGAUACUGCGGUGCUCGAGGACUGGAGAGGAGACUGGAAUUCAUGGUGUAGCAGUGAAAUGCGUAGAGAUCAUGAGGAAGACCAGUGGCGAAGGCGGGUCUCUGGACAGUUCCUGACACUGAGGCACGAAGGCCAGGGGAGCAAACGGG